rnacentral:tRNA from 1 species
GCGCUCAUAGCUUAAUUGGAUAGAGCACCUGACUACGGAUCAGGAGGUUAGGGGUUCGACUCCCUUUGAGCGCACCU